rnacentral:lncRNA from 1 species
CGACCAAGUAUUGAGGCUCCGAAUAAGCUAUCUUCAGUGCCUCCCUCCUUUAGGGUUCCACCGAGUACCAAGGCUCCAAGUACUGAGGCUUCACACAAGUGACAUUCGUGAAGGCUUUUUCUACUUUCUUUCUCUUUCUUUUUUUUUUUUUUUUUUUUUUUUUUUUUUUUUUUGUAAUUUCUCGGAGAUAUUAAUGGACAUGCCUUAUUU